rnacentral:lncRNA from 1 species
CUCUAAAAUCACAUUGCGUUUAGCUUUUAAUUCAGCAUAAAAAGUUCUAGGAUCAUCCAAAAUGCCCUUAUUUUUUGCUUCCAUGUCGAGUAAUUCCUCUUUCCAUCGAAUUGAGAUAUCAACCUUAGAACCCAUUACAGGUUUUGUAAAAGGAUGGUGAUUACUUAUGGACAUAAGCGAUUCUUUAAUAAUUGAUCACUUAAGUGCAAAAAGUUUUGAAAUUUUUUUUUUUUUUUUUUUGGCAAUAAUAAAAGGUAAGCUGACAAAGGAAUGACAAUACAAUAUCAACUAGAGAAUGCAAUUAUCACAGCAAAGCCAACAAAUGACUAACCUCAAGAUCACAUAAUACAANCUUAAAAUUUAUCAAUUAGUAUCACCCAAUCUUGAGAACAACUAACGCAUGCUUUUCAGUAAUUAUGAGUAAAGGCAGAAUUAGAACAGUUUCACCCACUGUAUGGUUGACUAAUCAAAAUUCAAGUACGCAGACAUCUUUCAAGAAACUCGUUCAGGCCCAAGAUGCCAAGAUCACCAAUUAUAGCUUUUAGCCAUUGUACUUGUCAAAAAAAAUCAGUAAUUAAUUCCAAAAAUAAUAUUCAGUGUAAAAAUAGAUAUGAAUCACAGUGGAUCAAGAAAAUGAUUCUUUUAAAAGACUGUGACUUGUAUGAACCAGAUUUGUAAGGAUUUAUCCCUUUGUUUUCAUGCUCGUAUGAGAAAUAAUCAAUCCAUCACACACAAAAGCAGUAAAAACACAAACGAUUGUUUACCCAGAUCAGUGAAAACGCCUAAUCUGAGGGACUCAGAGACUAGCCUCUUCACCAUGUGCAAAAAUAACCUUCCAAGAUAUAGAGAGAAUACACUAAAACCAUAAUCGGACACCAGAUCUAAUAUUUGAUCCAAAAGGAUCUCACAAAUCACACCUUAAUCACCGGUAAACAAAGUACCUUACUGCCUAACCAACACAUCACGGGCCUUACAAUCGACCAAAAAUACUGUAGCAAGAUGUAUUUUACAAGGUUCUUUCAAAUCGACUAAGAUCUCAUGUGAGAUCACAAGAAACAGAAAUCAAAAUAGAAGAAGAAAGUUAUCACGAAGAACCAGAGAGAGAUCUCAAGAAGAACCCAUAAGUUGAAAAACCAAGACUGAAGCCUGUCCUUUGGAAUGACCCAUCAAAUACCAAACCAAUUGUAUUAUAUUAGUU